rnacentral:rRNA from 1 species
GACGAACCGUGCGAACGUUGUUCGGAAUUACUGGGCGUAAAGGGCGCGUAGGCGGGAUGGCAAGUCGGUCGUGAAAUCCUUCGGCUCAACCGAAGAACGUCGAUCGAUACUGCUGUUCUUGAGGGUUGCAGAGGAGACUGGAAUUCCCGGUGUAGCGGUGAAAUGUGUAGAGAUCGGGAGGAACACCGGUGGCGAAGGCGGCAUCCUGGACCGACACUGACGCUGAGGAGCGAAAGCCAGGGGAGCAAACGGG